GCCGGCCGGCCCGGCCCCGACGGCCUGGACGGGCUGCCCGGCAGCGCAGGCCUGCCCGGACUGCCGGGCGAGUACGGCGAGCCCGGUCUGCCGGGACUGGACGGCACCGACGGCCGGCCCGGACGUCCGGGCACGGACGCCGACACGUUCAACGUCUUCUACCUGAAGGGAGAGAGCGGUCCGCCCGGCCUAGACGGACCGCCGGGACUGGACGGCCCGGACGGGCCGCCGGGGGAGCCAGGAGACGCCAGCGAGCCCGAUGUUGGCCGCGGCAGGCCGGGCGAGCCCGGCGAACCCGGCUUUCCAGGUCCACCGGGCCUGAACGGGCCCCCGGGCUUCCGCGGCUGCCCGG